rnacentral:rRNA from 1 species
CUUUCCGCGUGACUAAUACAUGCAAGUCGAGCGGACAGAUGGGAGCUUGCUACCCUGAUGUUAGCGGCGGACGGGUGAGUAACACGUGGGUAACCUGCCUGUAAGACUGGGAUAACUCCGGGAAACCGGGGCUAAUACCGGAUGGUUGUUUGAACCGCAUGGUUCAAACAUAAAAGGUGGCUUCGGCUACCACUUACAGAUGGACCCGCGGCGCAUUAGCUAGUUGGUGAGGUAACGGCUCACCAAGGCAACGAUGCGUAGCCGACCUGAGAGGGUGAUCGGCCACACUGGGACUGAGACACGGCCCAGACUCCUACGGGAGGCAGCAGUAGGGAAUCUUCCGCAAUGGACGAAAGUCUGACGGAGCAACGCCGCGUGAGUGAUGAAGGUUUUCGGAUCGUAAAGCUCUGUUGUUAGGGAAGAACAAGUACCGUUCGAAUAGGGCGGUACCUUGACGGUACCUAACCAGAAAGCCACGGCUAACUACGUGCCAGCAGCCGCGGUAAUACGUAGGUGGCAAGCGUUGUCCGGAAUUAUUGGGCGUAAAGGGCUCGCAGGCGGUUUCUUAAGUCUGAUGUGAAAGCCCCCGGCUCAACCGGGGAGGGUCAUUGGAAACUGGGGAACUUGAGUGCAGAAGAGGAGAGUGGAAUUCCACGUGUAGCGGUGAAAUGCGUAGAGAUGUGGAGGAACACCAGUGGCGAAGGCGACUCUCUGGUCUGUAACUGACGCUGAGGAGCGAAAGCGUGGGGAGCGAACAGGAUUAGAUACCCUGGUAGUCCACGCCGUAAACGAUGAGUGCUAAGUGGUUUAGGGGGGUUUCCGCCCCUUAGUGCUGCAGCUAACGCAUUAAGCACUCCGCCCUGGGGGAGUACGGGUCGCAAGACUGAAACUCAAAGGAAUUUGACGGGGGCCCGCACAAGCGGUGUAGCCAUGUGAUUUAAUUCGAAGCAACGCGAAGAACCUUUACCAGGUCUUGACAUCCUCUGACAUCCUAGAGGAUAGGACGUCCCCUUCGGGGGCAGAGUGACAGGUGGUU